rnacentral:rRNA from 1 species
UACGUAGGGUGCGAGCGUUGCCCGGAUUUAUUGGGCGUAAAGGGCGCGUAGGCGGCUCGGCACGUCCGUUGUGAAAUCGCCCGGCUCAACUGGGCGGGGUCAGCGGAUACGGUCGAGCUUGAGCAAGCUAGGGGGCAAUGGAAUUCCCGGUGUAGUGGUGGAAUGCGUAGAUAUCGGGAGGAACACCUGCGGCGAAGGCGGGUAGCUGGGCCGACACUGACGCUGAGGCGCGAAAGCCAGGGGAGCGAACGGG